UCGAGCGGAACGAUGGAGCUUGCUCCAGGCGUCGAGCGGCGGACGGGUGAGUAAUGCAUAGGAAUCUGCCCGAUAGUGGGGGAUAACCUGGGGAAACCCAGGCUAAUACCGCAUACGUCCUACGGGAGAAAGCAGGGGAUCUUCGGACCUUGCGCUAUCGGAUGAGCCUAUGUCGGAUUAGCUUGUUGGUGAGGUAAUGGCUCACCAAGGCGACGAUCCGUAGCUGGUCUGAGAGGAUGAUCAGCCACAUCGGGACUGAGACACGGCCCGAACUCCUACGGGAGGCAGCAGUGGGGAAUAUUGGACAAUGGGCGAAAGCCUGAUCCAGCCAUGCCGCGUGUGUGAAGAAGGCUUUCGGGUUGUAAAGCACUUUCAGUGAGGAAGAACGCCUCGGGGCCAAUACCCCCGAGGAAGGACAUCACUCACAGAAGAAGCACCGGCUAACUCCGUGCCAGCAGCCGCGGUAAUACGGAGGGUGCAAGCGUUAAUCGGAAUUACUGGGCGUAAAGCGCGCGUAGGUGGCUUGAUAAGCCGGUUGUGAAAGCCCCGGGCUCAACCUGGGAACGGCAUCCGGAACUGUCAGGCUAGAGUGCAGGAGAGGAAGGUAGAAUUCCCGGUGUAGCGGUGAAAUGCGUAGAGAUCGGGAGGAAUACCAGUGGCGAAGGCGGCCUUCUGGACUGACACUGACACUGAGGUGCGAAAGCGUGUGUAGCAAACAGGAUUAGAUACCCUGGUAGUCCACGCCGUAAACGAUGUCGACUAGCCGUUGGGGUCC
rnacentral:rRNA from 1 species